rnacentral:snRNA from 1 species
GGAUGUGAGGGUGAUCUGGCUGUGACAUCUGUCAUCCCAUUGGUCACCAGGUUUGAUUCGGCUGAUCUGGCUGGCUAGGAGGGUGUCCCCUUCCUCCCUCACUGCUCCAUGUGUAUCCAUCCCGAAGCUGCAUGCUAGGUCGAAGAGGAUGACAUCCCCAAUAGAGGAGGUCCAUUCUUUGGUCAAGGGUAUGUGAGUAGCUUUGAUUCCUUGCUAGUACCUCCAAACAACCUCUCAAAUAUUUAUAACCGAAGUAUUCACAAUAGCCAGGUUAAGGUAUCACUCUAGUUGUCCAUCAACAAUGGAAUAAAAAAAUUG